rnacentral:rRNA from 1 species
AUACGUAGGUGACAAGCGUUAUCCGGAUUUACUGGGCGUAAAGGGCGUGUAGGCGGUCUUGCAAGUCAGAAGUGAAAUCUAGGGGCUCAACCCCUAAACUGCUUUUGAAACUGUAUCCCUUGAGUAUCGGAGAGGCAGGCGGAAUUCCUAGUGUAGCGGUGAAAUGCGUAGAUAUUAGGAGGAACACCAGUGGCGAAGGCGGAUUGCUGGACAGCAACUGACGGUGAGGCGCGAAAGUGUGGGGAGCAAACAGGAUUAGAUACCCUGGUAGUCCACACUGUAAACGAUGAAUACUAGGUGUGCGGGGACUGACCCCCUGCGUGCCGGCGUUAACACAAUAAGUAUUCCACCUGGGGAGUACGAUCGCAAGGUUGAAACUCAAAUGAAUUGACGGGG